rfam:Clostridium sp. CAG:138 genomic scaffold, scf141
UCGUUUUCCCCUUGCAAAGCCAACGGGAAUGUUGUAUAAUUAAAAAGUCGCAUCCCGUUCGAGGUUUUGCCGCACGGCAAAAGUGGGUGUGUUGACGGCCGGGUCCCGUGCAAUUUUCUGCCGUGAACCAUGUCAGGUCCUGACGGAAGCAGCAUUAAGCGGAUAAGACGAUGUGCCGCGGGGACGCCUGGCAGGAGCAUUCAUUCCCUUGCCGUGUGCAGUUCGCUGCUGAAGAACGG